rnacentral:rRNA from 1 species
GUGCCAGCCGCCGCGGUAAAACGUAGGACGCAAGCGUUAUCCGGAGUUACUGGGCGUAAAGGGCAGGCAGGCGGGUCGAUAAGUCGGAUGUGAAAUCUCCCUGGCUUAACCGGGAGAGUGCAUUUGAGACUGUCAACCUGGAGGGCAGCAGAGGAGCGUGGAAUUCCGGGUGGAGUGGUGAAAUGCGUAGAGAUCCGGAGGAACACCAGAGGCGAAAGCGGCGCUCUGGGCUGCACCUGACGCUGAACUGCGAAAGCCAGGGGAGCGAACGGGAUUAGAAACCCCUGUAGUCC